AGGCAGCAGUGGGGGAUAUUGGACAAUGGGGGGAACCCUGAUCCAGCGACGCCGCGUGAGUGAAGAAGUAUUUCGGUAUGUAAAGCUCUAUCAGCAGGGAAGAAAGAAAUGACGGUACCUGAGUAAGAAGCCCCGGCUAACUACGUGCC
rnacentral:rRNA from 1 species